rnacentral:rRNA from 1 species
GAUGAACGCUGGCGGCGUGCCUAAUACAUGCAAGUCGAGCGAACAGACGAGGAGCUUGCUCCUUUGAUGUUAGCGGCGGACGGGUGAGUAACACGUAGGUAACCUACCUAUAAGACUGGGAUAACUUCGGGAAACCGGAGCUAAUACCGGAUAAUAUUUCGAACCGCAUGGUUCGAUAGUGAAAGAUGGCUUUGCUAUCACUUAUAGAUGGACCUGCGCCGUAUUAGCUAGUUGGUAAGGUAACGGCUUACCAAGGCAACGAUACGUAUCCGACCUGAGAGGGUGAUCGGCCACACUGGAACUGAGACACGGUCCAGACUCCUACGGGAGGCAGCAGUAGGGAAUCUUCCGCAAUGGGCGAAAGCCUGACGGAGCAACGCCGCGUGAGUGAUGAAGGUCUUCGGAUCGUAAAACUCUGUUAUUAGGGAAGAACAAACGUGUAAGUAACUGUGCACGUCUUGACGGUACCUAAUCAGAAAGCCACGGCUAACUACGUG